AUAAAAUUUCAAUUAAAGAAAGAAAUUACUGCUAGGGCAGUAAAGCACAGAAAAAGAUUGUUCAGGAAGGUUAUGGAGUCUCCAUCUUUGAAGGUGUUCAAGAGCCAUCUGGAUUUGGUGCUGAGUGACCAGCUCUACAUGGUCCUGCUUGUGCAGGCCAGUUGGGCGAGGUGACCUACAUAGGUGCCUACCUUAGCAAUUCUGUGAUUCUGUUACUCUCUAAUUAAAUAGAACAGAACACUGAGCUCAGUGAACACUCUCACUUUGAGCUUCCUCUGGAGUAUUGGUGCUAACUUUGUUGUAAAGAAAUAACAGCAUGCUCUUUUAGCAUGCUAAACUUGCAAAGCUGCAUUGAUAUAAAACAAAAAUUGACUCCAAAACAGACCAGUCUCCAUACCCAGGACAAUGCCUGUGGUGACAGAAUAGAAGAAAGGACCUCUGAAGAUGACAUGCUGCAAGUAAGAAGUAUGAAGUGGAACAUAAACUGGCAAUAGCAGCUGAAGUUAUGGAGCACCCAAAACUUAUAGAACAUGAAAAAAUGGACAAGAUUUAUAUAUUUCAUUCAGUCAUUAUAUGGCCUAUUUUUGGUAUUGUCAUAUACCAUAGGCUUUAAACUCAAACUACAAGAGAAUAUCAGCAGCAGCUAUUCCAAUUGGUCCAGUAAACUAUACAACUUCUCCCUAAGAAAUCUGCUUAUUAACCAACAAAAUUGGAUACUUCGAGAGUCAAAAUCCUUCCUGACAAUUCCCCGCCUGCCCUGCCAUCCUCCUGGCUGGGCACGGGUCCCGUGUCCUCUGUUAUGCAGAGAAUCAGCCCUCCAAGGCCUCCCCCAGCAUCCAGAGCUCCUGUGCAGCUCACACUGGAGCUGCUCAUCGCUCUCUGGGUAAUUCCAGCAGAGGAAGAUUGCAACCAUCAAUUCAAGAAACUCACCCACUCAAAGGAAGAGAAAGACAUGAAGGAAGAGAGCAUGGAACUAAUUAGCAUGAGAAGUGAGAGGAUCAUUCAACCAGUAGAAAACUAAUUAAUAAGGAAACUAGAUAACUUUGUAGCUAAUGAACCGUGAUUUUUUUUUUUUUUUUUUUUUUUUUUUUUUGUUGGAAUGUAUGAAGUGCAAAGUUUUGAGAAUCAGCAUGCGAGUUUUGUGGAUUUAGCAACUAGU
rnacentral:lncRNA from 1 species